UAAGAGUUUGAUCCUGGCUCAGGAUGAACGCUGGCGGCGUGCUUAACACAUGCAAGUCGAACGAUGAAGGAGAGCUUGCUCUCUGGAUUAGUGGCGAACGGGUGAGUAACACGUGAGCAACCUGCCCCUGACUCUGGGAUAAGCGCUGGAAACGGCGUCUAAUACUGGAUAUGAGCUCCUGCCGCAUGGUGGGGGUUGGAAAGAUUUUUUGGUUGGGGAUGGGCUCGCGGCCUAUCAGCUUGUUGGUGAGGUAAUGGCUCACCAAGGCGUCGACGGGUAGCCGGCCUGAGAGGGUGACCGGCCACACUGGGACUGAGACACGGCCCAGACUCCUACGGGAGGCAGCAGUGGGGAAUAUUGCACAAUGGGCGGAAGCCUGAUGCAGCAACGCCGCGUGAGGGAAGACGGCCUUCGGGUUGUAAACCUCUUUUAGCAGGGAAGAAGCGAAAGUGACGGUACCUGCAGAAAAAGCACCGGCUAACUACGUGCCAGCAGCCGCGGUAAUACGUAGGGUGCAAGCGUUAUCCGGAAUUAUUGGGCGUAAAGAGCUCGUAGGCGGUUUGUCGCGUCUGCUGUGAAAUCCCGAGGCUCAACCUCGGGUCUGCAGUGGGUACGGGCAGACUAGAGUGCGGUAGGGGAGAUUGGAAUUCCUGGUGUAGCGGUGGAAUGCGCAGAUAUCAGGAGGAACACCGAUGGCGAAGGCAGAUCUCUGGGCCGUAACUGACGCUGAGGAGCGAAAGGGUGGGGAGCAAACAGGCUUAGAUACCCUGGUAGUCCACCCCGUAAACGUUGGGAACUAGUUGUGGGGUCCAUUCCACGGAUUCCGUGACGAAGCUAACGCAUUAAGUCCCCG
rnacentral:rRNA from 2 species